rnacentral:rRNA from 1 species
CCUACGGGGGGCUGCAGUGAGGAAUAUUGGUCAAUGGGCGCGAGCCUGAACCAGCCAAGUAGCGUGAAGGAUGACUGCCCUACGGGUUGUAAACUUCUUUUAUAAAGGAAUAAAGUGAGGCACGUGUGCCUUUUUGUAUGUACUUUAUGAAUAAGGAUCGGCUAACUCCGUGCCAGCAGCCGCGGUAAUACGGAGGAUCCGAGCGUUAUCCGGAUUUAUUGGGUGUAAAGGGAGCGUAGAUGGGUUGUUAAGUCAGUUGUGAAAGUUUUCGGCUCAACCGUAAAAUUGCAAUUGAUACUGGCGGCCUUGAGUGCAGAUGAGGUAGGCGGAAUUCGUGGUGUAGCGGUGAAAUGCUUAGAUAUCACGCAGAACUCCGAUUGCGAAGGCAGCCUACUAAACUGCCACUGACAUUGAUGCUCGAAAGUGUGGGUAGCAAACAGGAUUAGAUACCCGAGUAGUC